UUGACUUGGUCCAACCAAGCAUCUAACUCCAAGUUUUGACUUGGUCCAACAAAAUUUUCAAAUACACCCAAACUGCGGGCUGUCUUUGAAGCUUGAAUAGAGCUGGUGGUGACGUAGGAGGAGUGAGCUCAGACAUGAUAUUGUAAAUGUAAUUGAAAACUAUGCAGCUGUCUUUAAAGAGACAUGAAGCCUCAACCACCAGAAAUAACAAGUAAGAAUGAUUUUGUUGACUUUUCCAGCUCCAAAUAAUGCAUUCAGAAAUUGAAUAUGCACCAAACAUAAGACGAUGAAGCUGGAUCUCAAUCUGGAUGGGUAGAUAUGGAAGCUUUUCUCUAUACAAUUUAGAAGCAACACCAAGGUUGUUCUGCAACAAAACCAAUGGAAGGCUUACUUCGCAGGAGAGAUGGUACCGACACUUGUUCCUAAUCCGAGUUCCAGUGUCGGCAUCAUAUCUUCUACGGAGCAAGCCGAAGAUUUGAAUAUACAAUGCGAAGAAUGGUGCCCAGAGUUCAUCCAUCUUCUCCUUUAGAGUUUAGGACUUGGAUUAGUGUCGAUAUCCAAAUUCCUUUCAAAGUA